rnacentral:rRNA from 1 species
GAUGAACGCUGGCGGCGUGCCUAACACAUGCAAGUCGAGCGGUAUAUACUUAAACAAAUCUUCGGAAGAGUGAGAGUAUAGAGAGCGGCGGACGGGUGAGUAACGCGUAGGCAACCUGCCCCAUACAGAGGGAUAGCCUCGGGAAACCGGGAUUAAAACCUCAUAACGCGAGAGAGUCACAUGGCUUUUUCGCCAAAGAUUUAUCGGUAUGGGAUGGGCCUGCGUCUGAUUAGCUAGUUGGUGGGGUAACGGCCUACCAAGGCAACGAUCAGUAGCCGACCUGAUGAGAUAAUCGGCCACAUUGGAACAGAGACACGGUCCAAAAUCCUACGGGAGGCAGCAGUGGGGAAUAUUGCACAAUGGGCGAAAGCCUGAUGCAGCAACGCCGCGUGAGCGAUGAAGGCCUUUGGGUCGUAAAGCUCUGUCCUUGGGGAAGAAUAAAUGACGGUACCCUUGGAGGAAGCCCCGGCUAACUACGUGCCAGCCGCGCGGUAA